rnacentral:misc_RNA from 1 species
UGAGUCUAGCACUCUUCAACCCCUGUGAACCAUACCUAUUUUUCCCCGGCGGAACGCCCCGGUGCCCUAGGGGCCGGGUCAGGCGCCUGCCGGGGGCAACCAGACCGUAUUUGUAACCCUAUACCUCAGAAUUAGGCGUAAAGCCGAAAUGUAA